UGGGAAUUUUGGACGAAUGGGCGAAAGCCUGAUCCAGCAAUGCCGCGUGUGUGAAGAAGGCCUUCGGGUUGUAAAGCACUUUUGUCCGGAAAGAAAUCCUUGGCUCUAAUACAGUCGGGGGAUGACGGUACCGGAAGAAUAAGCACCGGCUAACUACGUGCCAGCAGCCGCGGUAAUACGUAGGGUGCAAGCGUUAAUCGGAAUUACUGGGCGUAAAGCGUGCGCAGGCGGUUUGCUAAGACCGAUGUGAAAUCCCCGGGCUCAACCUGGGAACUGCAUUGGUGACUGGCAGGCUAGAGUAUGGCAGAGGGGGGUAGAAUUCCACGUGUAGCAGUGAAAUGCGUAGAGAUGUGGAGGAAUACCGAUGGCGAAGGCAGCCCCCUGGGCCAAUACUGACACUCAUGCACGAAAGCGUGGGGAGCAAACAGGAUUAGAUACCCUGGUAGUCCACGCCCUAAACGAUGUCAACUAGUUGUUGGGGAUUCAUUUCCUUAGUAACGUAGCUAACGCGUGAAGUUGACCGCCUGGGGAGUACGGUCGCAAGAUU
rnacentral:rRNA from 1 species